AGUUAUUGCACGAUACACAUCGAGAGUGCCAAGGGAGGCAUUUGGAAGCCGUUUUGUAUGGAAUUUUGCCUCGGAUGUAGAUUUGGCUAUUGAAUGGUGCUCUUGCCAAUAAGGAAUGACUCUAAUACGACACAAAUCCGACGUCAAUAAGAAAUUAUAAAGAGCAUUCAGCAUCAAGAGCCGUGUGUACAGAGCCGCCAUGUCGCUUGCCACCACUAUUUCGCCACUGCUCCACCAACUUUAGAUUACUUCAGGCAAAUGCUGAGAUGGUUUUCACUAUAAGGCCACGUCCGACUAUCUGUCCCAUCCUCGUCAAACUAGACCUAAUAAAUAUGCUGUGGCUGUAGGGGCGACGAUGGUGGCUGGAUAUGUCGGUUACAUGGCGUACAUGCAAACAACGACUGAUAUCCCAGCCAUAAAAUCUGACCAAGCCAGAAGUCUUCAGAGGAAAUGAAAAAGUCAUGCAGCACUCAGACAUCUUGUUGUUUGGAAACAGAGUUUAAAAAGGUAUACUGGUAUCAAAGGAACAUGUGUGGAAUAGUAUCUGUGUGCCUAAUAAGAGACCUAGAAAAUAUCUACCGAAUCUUCUGUAGUUAAGGAAACUUGUUUAAUCUGUAAACAGCCAAUAUUCCUACCGUCAAUAAAUAGCACA